rnacentral:rRNA from 1 species
GAUGAACGCUAGCGGCAGGCUUAAUACAUGCAAGUCGUGGGGCAGCAUGAAGUAGCAAUACUUUGAUGGCGACCGGCAAACGGGUGCGGAACACGUACACAACCUUCCUUUUAGUGGGGAAUAGCCCAGAGAAAUUUGGAUUAAUACCCCGUAACAUAGCGAUGAGGCAUCUCAUUGCUAUUAUAGCUUCGGCGCUAGAUGAUGGGUGUGCGUAUGAUUAGAUAGUUGGCGAGGUAACGGCUCACCAAGUCUACGAUCAUUAGCUGAUGUGAGAGCAUGAUCAGCCACACGGGCACUGAGACACGGGCCCGACUCCUACGGGAGGCAGCAGUAAGGAAUAUUGGUCAAUGGACGAAAGUCUGAACCAGCCAUGCCGCAUGAAGGAUUAAGGUCCUCUGGAUUGUAAACUUCUUUUAUAUGGGACGAAAAAAGGUCUUUCUAGAUCACUUGACGGUACCAUAUGAAUAAGCACCGGCUAACUCCGUG